UUUGUAUAAUGGGUCAGCGACUUAUAUUCUGUAGCAAGGUUAACCGAAUAGGGGAGCCGAAGGGAAACCGAGUCUUAACUGGGCGUUAAGUUGCAGGGUAUAGACCCGAAACCCGGUGAUCUAGCCAUGGGCAGGUUGAAGGUUGGGUAACACUAACUGGAGGACCGAACCGACUAAUGUUGAAAAAUUAGCGGAUGACUUGUGGCUGGGGGUGAAAGGCCAAUCAAACCGGGAGAUAGCUGGUUCUCCCCGAAAGCUAUUUAGGUAGCGCCUCGUGAAUUCAUCUCCGGGGGUAGAGCACUGUUUCGGCAAGGGGGUCAUCCCGACUUACCAACCCGAUGCAAACUGCGAAUACCGGAGAAUGUUAUUACGGGAGACACACGGCGGGUGCUAACGUCCGUCGUGAAGAGGGAAACAACCCAGACCGCCAGCUAAGGUCCCAAAGUCAUGGUUAAGUGGGAAACGAUGUGGGAAGGCCCAGACAGCCAGGAUGUUGGCUUAGAAGCAGCCAUCAUUUAAAGAAAGCGUAAUAGCUCACUGGUCGAGUCGGCCUGCGCGGAAGAUGUAACGGGGCUAAACCAUGCACCGAAGCUGCGGCAGCGACGCUUAUGCGUUGUUGGGUAGGGGAGCGUUCUGUAAGCCUGUGAAGGUGUGCUGUGAGGUAUGCUGGAGGUAUCAGAAGUGCGAAUGCUGACAUAAG
rnacentral:rRNA from 1 species